AACAGCUGUGACCUGUCUCAAAGCCUGGGCAGGUCAGAUCGUGGCGGGAUACCUGUCUGGACACAUCAGGAUAUUCAACCUCCAUGAUGGCAGGAUACAGGCUGAGGUCUGUGCGCACGUGCGGUCCAUCUCUGGCCUGGACGUCGCCGUGGAGUCGGGGCUACUGAUCUCGGCUUCAGAGGACACUUUCGUUCGAGUCUGGCAACUUGGGAAGAUCGACGUGCCAAUCGAGCACAAGUACAGCUUCAGCGAGCGGGACACGACCAUCUGCGGCGUCACGUUCACAGACGACCUCGGGGCCGGGUACCUGACCACAGGGUACGACCGCCUCGACCUCCUGUGUUACGCUAUGUAAGGGAGGAGGGACGUGGGUGUUCUUGUCGGCGCUGGUGUUAUGGGGGUAUGCGGUGUUUGUCUCUCUGGCUGUUCUUUUUGU